rnacentral:misc_RNA from 1 species
GGGGGUUGUGACUCCUGACGCUCUAUGAUGAUAUGUCAAUUAAAUUAUGAGCAAUCAAUCACAUGAGGCCUUUUAGUUUUCAUAAACUUCUAUAAUUUACCUAAAAAUAGAGCAAAUUUUCAAACUUUCAAUCCUGUGCUAACUUCCAAACAAUCAUGUCAAAAUUAUAAUAAAGGCUUGGCAAGUCCAAUAUGAAAAUUAGACAUUUAUUAGGCAACUCAUUUGUUAACAGAACCAGGAAACAAAGUAGCGUUUAAACAGAAUUUGGAGUUGACGUCACACAAGAAUCAUCAAGUUGUAACCAAACAUAAAUAAAGCAGCAGCUAUUAAAAGUGGAGAUAAACAAACGACAAAGGACAGGCCAAAAACAUACCUCUUAAACAUGAAGCUACACUUC